UGGGGAAUAUUGGACAAUGGGGGCAACCCUGAUCCAGCAAUGCCGCGUGUGUGAAGAAGGUUUUCGGAUUGUAAAGCACUUUCGACGGGGACGAUGAUGACGGUACCCGUAGAAGAAGCCCCGGCUAACUUCGUGCCAGCAGCCGCGGUAAUACGAAGGGGGCUAGCGUUGCUCGGAAUGACUGGGCGUAAAGGGCGUGUAGGCGGUUUGUACAGUCAGAUGUGAAAUCCCCGGGCUUAACCUGGGAGCUGCAUUUGAUACGUGCAGACUAGAGUGUGAGAGAGGGUUGUGGAAUUCCCAGUGUAGAGGUGA
rnacentral:rRNA from 1 species